rnacentral:tRNA from 2 species
GGGGCCGUAGGGUAGUUUGGACCAUCCUCUCAACCCGGGGCGUUGGUGACUCGAGUUCAAAUCUCGGCGGCCCCACCA